GCCUCUAUAGCUCAGUUGGUAGAGCGCAUCCUUGGUAAGGAUGAGGUCAUCAGUUCAAUUCUGAUUAGAGGCU
rnacentral:tRNA from 2 species